GAUGAACGCUGGCGGCGUGCUUAACACAUGCAAGUCGAACGAGCUUUAUUACUACGAUCCCUUCGGGGUGACGGUUUUAAAGCGAGUGGCGGACGGGUGAGUAACGCGUGGAUAACCUGCCAUACACUGGGGGAUAACAGCUGGAAACAGCUGCUAAUACCGCAUAAAACUGUAGAGUCGCAUGACUUUAUAGCCAAAGCUCCGGCGGUGUAUGAUGGAUCCGCGUCUGAUUAGGCAGUUGGCGGGGUAACGGCCCACCAAACCGACGAUCAGUAGCCGACCUGAGAGGGUGACCGGCCACAUUGGGACUGAGACACGGCCCAGACUCCUACGGGAGGCAGCAGUGGGGAAUAUUGCACAAUGGAGGAAACUCUGAUGCAGCGACGCCGCGUGAGCGAUGAAGUAUUUCGGUAUGUAAAGCUCUAUCAGCAGGGAAGAUAAUGACGGUACCUGAGUAAGAAGCACCGGCUAAAUACGUGCCAGCAG
rnacentral:rRNA from 1 species